rnacentral:rRNA from 1 species
AGCAGUCGCCGCGGGAAUACAGAGGGUGCAAGCGUUAAUCGGAAUUACUGGGCGUAAAGCGCGCGUAGGUGGUUUGUUAAGUUGGAUGUGAAAGCCCCGGGCUCAACCUGGGAACUGCAUCCAAAACUGGCAAGCUAGAGUACGGUAGAGGGUGGUGGAAUUUCCUGUGUAGCGGUGAAAUGCGUAGAUAUAGGAAGGAACACCAGUGGCGAAGGCGACCACCUGGACUGAUACUGACACUGAGGUGCGAAAGCGUGGGGAGCAAACAGGAUUAGAUACCCGGGUAGUCCCUGUCUCUUAUAC